UACGUAGGGGGCGAGCGUUGUCCGGAUUUAUUGGGCGUAAAGAGCUCGUAGGCGGUUUGGUAAGUUGGAUGUGAAAUCUCCAGGCUCAACUUGGAGGGGUCAUUCGAUACUGCCAUGACUAGAGUUCGGUAGGGGAGUGUGGAAUUCCUGGUGGAGCGGUGAAAUGCGCAGAUAUCGGGAGGAACACCGGUGGCGAAGGCGGCGACCUGGGUCGAUACUGACGCUGAUGCGCGAAAGCGUGGGGAGCAAACAGG
rnacentral:rRNA from 1 species